rnacentral:rRNA from 1 species
UGCGUAGGCGGACUAAUAAGUCAGUGGUGAAAUCUCUCGGCUCAACCGGGAAACUGCCAUUGAUACUGUUAGUCUUGAGUUCGGUUGAGGUAGGCGGAAUGUGUAAUGUAGCGGUGAAAUGCUUAGAUAUUACACAGAACACUAAUUGCGUAGGCAGCUUACUAGACCGACACUGACGCUGAGGCACGAAAGCGUGGGUAGCGAACAGGAUUAGAUACCCUGGUAGUCC